GACGAACGCUGGCGGCGUGCUUAACACAUGCAAGUCGAACGGAAAGGCCCUGCUUGCAGGGUACUCGCGUGGCGCACGGGUGUGUAACACGCGGGUGUUCUGCCCUGCACUUCGGGGUAUGCCUUGGAAACUGUGUCUAAUACACGAUAGGAGCCAUUCUUAGUGUGAUGGUUGGAUAGUUUGUUCGGUGUAGUAUGAGUUGGCGGCCUAUCUGCUGGUUGGUGGGGUAAUGGCUUACCAAGGCGGGGACGGGUAGCUGGCCGGGGAGGGUGGACGCCCACAUGGGGACGGGGAUACGGCCCAGACCCCUCGGGAGGCAGCAGUGGGGAAUAUUGCACAAUGGGCGCAAGCCUGAUGCAGCGACGCCGCGUGGGGGAUGACGGCCUUCGGGUUGUAAACUGCUUUCGCUAGGGACGAAGCUUGUGUGACGGUACCUAGAUAAGAAGCACCGGCUAACUACGUG
rnacentral:rRNA from 1 species